CAUUUUUUAAAGAUUGUUAAGCACUUGCCAGCCAUGUUAUCAUUUUCCACUUGGAGAACAUCAACCACGGCAAAAGGAGGAAACUGUGUCAAAUUCCUACUUUGUACCAGACAUGGCUACAGAUCCACUGAGAAGAGUGAGGAGUUAAAUAUUCCAGCCUACUCAACUUGAAGACAGAUAAUGAAGAUGAGGAGC